GAUGAACGCUGGCGGCGUGCCUAAUACAUGCAAGUCGAGCGAACAGACGAGGAGCUUGCUCCUCUGACGUUAGCGGCGGACGGGUGAGUAACACGUGGAUAACCUACCUAUAAGACUGGGAUAACUUCGGGAAACCGGAGCUAAUACCGGAUAAUAUAUUGAACCGCAUGGUUCAAUAGUGAAAGACGGUUUUGCUGUCACUUAUAGAUGGAUCCGCGCCGCAUUAGCUAGUUGGUAAGGUAACGGCUUACCAAGGCAACGAUGCGUAGCCGACCUGAGAGGGUGAUCGGCCACACUGGAACUGAGACACGGUCCAGACUCCUACGGGAGGCAGCAGUAGGGAAUCUUCCGCAAUGGGCGAAAGCUUGACGGAGCAACGCCGCGUGAGUGAUGAAGGUCUUCGGAUCGUAAAACUCUGUUAUUAGGGAAGAACAAAUGUGUAAGUAACUAUGCACGUCUUGACGGUACCUAAUCAGAAAGCCACGGCUACCUACGUG
rnacentral:rRNA from 1 species